CCUACGGGUGGCAGCAGUGGGGAAUAUUGGGCAAUGGGCGAAAGCCUGACCCAGCAACGCCGCGUGAAGGAAGAAGGCUUCCGGGUUGUAAACUUCUUUUGACAGGGAAGAGCAGAAGACGGUACCUGUUUAGAAAGCUCCGGCUAACUACGUGCCAGCAGCCGCGGUAAUACGUAGGGAGCAAGCGUUGUCCGGAAUUACUGGGCGUAAAGGGCGCGUAGGUGGGCGCUUAAGUCAGGUGUGAAAACUCCGGGCUCAACCUGGAGACUGCACUUGAAACUGGGUGUCUUGAGGGCAGGAGAGGAAAGUGGAAUUCCUAGUGUAGCGGUGAAAUGCGUAGAUAUUAGGAGGAACACCAGUGGCGAAGGCGACUUUCUGGACUGUACCUGACGCUGAGGCGCGAAAGCGUGGGUAGCGAACGGGAUUAGAUACCCCAGUAGUC
rnacentral:rRNA from 1 species